UACGUAGGGAGCAAGCGUUGUUCGGAUUUACUGGGCGUAAAGGGCGCGUAGGCGGCAAUUCAAGUCAUCUGUGAAAUCUCCGGGCUUAACUCGGAACGGUCAGGUGAUACUGCUUUGCUAGAGUGCGGAAGGGGCAAUCGGAAUUCUCGGUGUAGCGGUGAAAUGCGUAGAUAUCGAGAGGAACACCUGAGGUGAAGACGGGUUGCUGGGCCGACACUGACGCUGACAGCGCGAAAGCCAGGGGAGCAAACGGG
rnacentral:rRNA from 1 species